rnacentral:rRNA from 1 species
GACGAACGCUGGCGGCGUGCCUAACACAUGCAAGUCGAGCGGAGACAGUGAGUAGCUUGCUAUGAGCUGUUUUAGCGGCGGACGGGUGAGUAACGCGUGAGCAACCUUUCCCAGACAGGGGAAUAACACACCGAAAGGUGUACUAAUACCGCAUAACACCACGGGAUCACAUGGUUCUGGGGUAAAAGAAUUAUCGGUUUGGGGUGGGCUCGCGUCCGAUUAGGUAGUUGGUGAGGUAACGGCCCACCCAGCCGACGAUCGGUAGCCGACCUGAGAGGGUGAUCGGCCACAUUGGGACUGAGACACGGCCCAAACUCCUACGGGAGGCAGCAGUGGGGAAUAUUGGGCAAUGGAGGAAACUCUGACCCAGCAACGCCGCGUGGAGGAAGAAGGUUUUCGGAUCGUAAACUCCUGUCCUUGGAGACGAGUAGAAGACGGUAUCCAAGGAGGAAGCCCCGGCUAACUACGUGCCAGCAGCCGCGGUAAUACGUAGGGGGCAAGCGUUGUCCGGAAUAAUUGGGCGUAAAGGGCGCGUAGGCGGCUCGGUAAGUCUGGAGUGAAAGUCCUGCUUUUAAGGUGGGAAUUGCUUUGGAUACUGUCGGGCUUGAGUGCAGGAGAGGUUAGUGGAAUUCCCAGUGUAGCGGUGAAAUGCGUAGAGAUUGGGAGGAACACCAGUGGCGAAGGCGACUAACUGGACUGUAACUGACGCUGAGGCGCGAAAGUGUGGGGAGCAAACAGGAUUAGAUACCCUGGUAGUCCACACUGUAAACGAUGAAUAAUAGGUGUAGGGGGGAUUGACCCCUUUUUGCCGCAGUCAACCCAAUAAGCAUUCCGCCUGGGGAGUACGGCCGCACGGUUGAAACUCAAAGGAAUUGACGGGGGCCCGCACAAGCAGCGGAGCAUGUGGUUUAAUUCGACGCAACGCGAAGAACCUUACCAGGUCUUGACAUCCACUUAAACUUACAGAGAUGUAAGGUGUGCUUGCACAAAGUGAGACAGGUGGUGCAUGGUUGUCGUCAGCUCGUGUCGUGAGAUGUUGGGUUAAGUCCCGCAACGAGCGCAACCCUUAUCUUCAGUUACUAACGCGUAGAGGUGAGGACUCUGAAGAGACUGCCGGGGACAACUCGGAGGAAGGUGGGGAGGACGUCAAAUCAUCAUGCCCCUUAUGACCUGGGCUACACACGUGCUACAAUGGCCACGACAGAGAGAAGCGAAAUCGUAAGGUAGAGCGGAACUCAAAAAAGUGGUCCCAGUUCGGAUUGUGGGCUGCAACCCGCCCACAUGAAGUCGGAGUUGCUAGUAAUCGCGGAUCAGCAUGCCGCGGUGAAUAAGUUCCCGGGCCUUGCACA